rnacentral:rRNA from 1 species
AUUGAACGCUGGCGGCAGGCCUAACACAUGCCAGUCGAACGGUAACAGGAAACAGCUUGCUGUUUCGCUGACGAGUGGCGGACGGGUGAGUAAUGUCUGGGAAACUGCCUGAUGGAGGGGGAUAACUACUGGAAACGGUAGCUAAUACCGCAUAACGUCGCAAGACCAAAGAGGGGGACCCUCGGGCCUCUUGCCAUCGGAUGUGCCCAGAUGGGAUUAGCUUGUUGGUGGGGUAACGGCUCACCAAGGCGACGAUCCCUAGCUGGUCUGAGAGGAUGACCAGCCACACUGGAACUGAGACACGGUCCAGACUCCUACGGGAGGCAGCAGUGGGGAAUAUUGCACAAUGGGCGCAAGCCUGAUGCAGCCAUGCCGCGUGUAUGAAGAAGGCCUUCGGGUUGUAAAGUACUUUCAGCGGGGAGGAAGGGAGUAAAGUUAAUACCUUUGCUCAUUGACGUUACCCGCAGAAGAAGCACCGGCUAACUUCGUG